GCUCCGGUGGCCUAGUGGCUAGAGCGUCCGCAAUGGAUGUGGGAGGUCGUGGGUUCUAUCCCCGUCCGAGUCA